AACGAACGCUGGCGGCGCGCCUAAUACAUGCAAGUCGAGCGAGAAGACGUAGCAAUACGUUUGUAAAGCGGCGAACGGGUGAGGAAUACAUGGGUAACCUACCUCGAGUGGGGAGUAACUAGCCGAAAGGUUAGCUAAUACCGCGUACGCUCCUUGGGACUUCGGUUCAGGGAGGAAAGCGAUACCGUGGGUAUCGCGCUCUUGGAUGGGCUCAUGUCCUAUCAGCUUGUUGGGAGGUAACGGCUCACCAAGGCUUCGACGGGUAGCUGUCUGAGAGGACGAUCAGCCACACUGGCACUGCGACACGGGCCAG
rnacentral:rRNA from 1 species